GCUGAAACUUGUUUAUUUGUAUCUGUGAACAUUACAAUGCAGUUUCCUCGCCCCCUGUGUCUGCCGGCCAUCUGACUACUGCCUGUUACUUUGACUACAAUUCUGGAUUGUCUGUACACAUCUGAUUGCUCCUUUGACUGUUGCCUGCCUGACCAUUCUCUGCAAAAUAAACCUCCAUUUGGAUCCUCCUUCCUCUUGUCAGGGUUCACGUCAAAACGACCCCCUGUUGUACCUUCACGGACCCCUGUUUGAAAACCCUAUAAAAUAUCUCAUCAAAGCACAUCAUGUGGUCGCAUUAAAGCAGAAUAUGCAGACCGGAGUCCUAAAAUCAUCUGAUCUGAGGUCUGUGGAUCAACAUCCGCAUCGGUGUGAACACGACGCACACACUGACCUCCGUCCUGCUGCUGAUAAAUGUUGUAGGUCUGGCCGGCGUCCCGGACUGCACUUCAGCAGGUAUCUGUGCAUCUGAUCUUAUCUGAUCUGGAGGAAAAGACUUUCUGUACAGACUCAUGAAGAUAAUGAGGCUGCGGUCUGCCUCAUACCAGCGCUCUGCGGCUCAGGGGGCGGAGCCUCAGGUGAGCUGACAGCCAAUCACAGCCACUCUGAAUGUGAUUGAUUUACAUUCGCAAUUCAGUCCAUUUUUAUGGUGUAUUAUCGAAGGCUUUAGAAUAUACAAGACGUGUCACUCUCUAUAUGUAUAGUUUUGAAUGGGGAGAAGUGUAGCCGGCAAUAUGGCGAAUAAAGCCUCUCCUUCUAGCACAACCAAUCAGUGAACGCUAUACACUGAUGAUUCUCUGGAGGAGAGGCUCAGAGCAGGCUCAAGGGGUGGAGCUGACAGUCAAUCACAGCCACUCUGAACAUGGUUAUGAUUGCGUUCGAAUUUGAUUCUAUUUUUAUUGGUUGUGUAUUAUUAAAGACUAUAGAAUACACAAGACGUGUCACUCGUGUAGUUUUGAAUGGGGAAUCGUCUAACGGUCAAUACGGCGAAUGAAGCCCCACCUAGGUACUAGUACAAUCAGCUAUCACUAUUGACUGACUCUCCGAGGGAGGGGUUUGGUCCAACUUCAUUAUUAUGCAUGAUAUCUUCGAAGACUGUUUUUACCUGUUACAGUGUUCAGACAGCAGAGAGAUGCCACGUUGUGUUGCCAAAACAAGUGGAAGGACAAGACUUGUUUGGAGACGCGAGUCUGUUGUGUUUAUAAAUGUGCUGCAACGAAGGGUUUGUUUUCAUUUCCCCACUAUGAGAGCGCAGCUGGACUUGCGUGUGGGCUACAAAGCACGUGACACACGGCAGAUGUCCAUGUAAACGCAUUGAUGUCCAUGUUAACACAGUCACUGUCAUUCUCCCCUGCGUCUGUGUGUUGGUUUUGCCUCUGUGAAAAUCAGCACGUGCCCAAACGGAAACUCCCAUUUUAAUGCAAAGCCAUCCCUCUUUCCCUCCUCAUACACUCCGAAAUAAACAGAGCUAGACACA
rnacentral:lncRNA from 1 species